CCACUGCAAACAUGUCUCUGUGUGAACUUGAUCCAGAAACAGCCAGGCAGGGGACAAAGUUUAAUCCGAGGGAAUAGUUGGCUGCCUGUAGUUUCAGGUUGUCUGUCCAGACUUCAGCAUGCCGUAAGUAGUUUCUGUUUUUUAACUUUUGUGGCAUUUUAAUAUAUAACAAUUGCAAGAAUAAUUUCCAUAAGAUUAAAUCAAGUUCUGAAUGGUUUUGAGUCUUCUAUACUAGACCUGCUUAGGAAGUUUCAGCACUUCACAAAUGGCUUUGUUCUUUAAAAUGAAAAGAGAAGCCAUAAAAAUCCAAAGCGAAUAUUCUACUCAAACUGGUCCUGAUUGAACAAAAAGAUCUUAAUGUCUUAUGUUGAGUGGAAGUGUUUACAGCUGAAAACAAAUGGGAAUGGACUUAUACCCCGUGCCUGGAGAUUGAGCAUUUCCAAAUCGUGCUUAGAAUUCACCCUAUGUUCCUUACAGUUGCUUAAGGCAUGUGUUAGUAGAUAUCUCUCUGAGCCGAUUGAGGUAGAAAUUUUUAUAUUCAAAAAAAAUGAAAGGAACGAGAGAGAGUGGUGCUUAAAACACAAAAGAGGCUGGGAACCUAGAAUGCGGCAGCAGAGUGAAGUGGAUGGAAGCCACAGGUCCUGAGACUUAAUGUGAUGUGACAGAGAGAUUGUAGGACUUUGACAUCUGUACUGAUUUUUCAGGCAGAAAUCCCAGUCUGAUAUGAUAUGCUUAUAGUAUAUGAAGCAUAUGGUGUGUUUGUGUGUGUGUGUGUGUGUGUGUGUAAUAAAUUAGUGCUGCUCCCAUUGCCCUUGUCUUCAGAUUAGAAUUUUGGGAACCGCACAUUGGCACACAAACAUGCUGGCCUCUUGAGUGUAGAUGCAAGGAUUUUAGGGCUACAUUUGGUGUUGGAAGGGUUGAGAUUUUCUGUUUUCUUCUUACUACAAUAAAUAUUUUAAAAAACUGAUGCAUGAUACUUGUAUGAUUUUUGAAUAAGGAUUUAUACUUUGACAUGGUUAAUGUAUGAGUUAGAAGCUAGAGCUCUUAGCCAGUAACCCCACCAGCCAUUGGUAAAGGUUGAAAUUUUUUAUGUAGACGCUUGCUGGGCUUCCCUGACUUCAUCUCAGACCUUAGCGACAGUUUAUUUCCAAGCCUGCUUCUUGCUGCUGUGUGCCGAGUGGGAACCAGACGUGGUCCUGGUGGGAUGAGAGCUCAGGACAUGUUGUUCUAAGUAGGGUCUAGGACUGUACUGAAGUGAAACUUUGUUCACCCUUUAGAUUGCUGAAUCCCAGUGAUUCUAGGCUCCUGGCCUGCUAACUUCCUUAAGGCAAUAAAGUUUCUUGGGAGAAGUUAUUUGGUUAGUUGUUGGUUCAUGAAGCGAGACUGGGGAGGGAGUAGAAGUCUUUGGAAAGAAGCCAGACUGAUGGGGAAGCAGCUGUUUCCUGGCUGGGUCAGUCUUUUAGCCACCUGGAGCCAGACAAGUGUGUGUCGGCGUAUGGAUCUUAACCAGAAUUCUUUGCUAAUUUCAAAAAGCCAAGCUCUUUUGGAAAUUUUCAGACACCCCUGCCAGCUUCUUAUAUAUCUCCGAGUCACCUAACAUUCAUGCCAUUGCAGCGCCCUCUAAGGUGACUCAGUCUAGCUCCGGGGUGUGUGUGUUGUGUUUGUGUGUGUGUGUGUGUGUGUGUGUGUGUAUACCAACCCCAUAACCCCUCUCUUCAGUUCACUCCAGCUACACACAAGGUUCUGCUGUUUCUUGGUUAUAGCAGGCUUGCUUCUACCUUGGGGCCUUUGCUGCCUGGAGAGAUCUUUUCCCAGGUUGGCUCAUUCUGUAGCCGCCAAAACUUCCUCCUAGCAGCCUGGAAGAGUGCCCUGCAGGGCGCCGCCCCCACUCCUGCCCUCCAAACUACUCCUCUCCCUUUGCCAGGACUUGCUGUUUUGUUUUGUUCAAUGUCCAGUAGGACAUUGUUUUAUACAGAUAAAGAAGUGUGCAUAUAUGUGUAUAUGUGUACACACUUGUAUAUUUGGUCUUUCUCCCGUAGAAUGUGAAUUUUAAGAGGGCAAGAGCAUUAUCUUGUUCAGUGCUGCAUCAUCAAUACCCAUCGUAUUGCCUGGCUGUGGGAAUAGACACUUGGGAAAUAGUUCUACAAAGAGAUUAAUGUCCCCUGGUAUCAUUAAAAUUGAUUCUAAACAUUCUUUUUAAAAUAACUGAUAGAGUCACAUGAUUCUAAGACCACCACCACCAGCACAUAAAAAGGUCCAUGCGGAAGUCUUCUCACUCAUCCAGUCCCAUCCAGGAUGCUUUGAGUCUCGUGAAAGCCCUAAACCACUGCUGUGUCCUGUGCACCAUGACCUGCUGUGUCCUGUGCACCAUGACCUGCUGUGUCCUGUGCUCCAUGACCUGCUGUGUCCUGUGCACCAUGACCUGCUGUGUCCUGUGCACCAUGACCUGCUGUGUCCUGUGCUCCAUGACCUGCUGUGUCCUGUGCUCCAUGACCUGCUGUGUCCUGUGCUCCAUGACCUGCUGUGUCCUGUGCUCCAUGACCUGCUGUGUCCUGUGCUCCAUGACCUGCUGUGUCCUGUGCUCCCUGCUCCAUGACCUCACUGCAUGCGAAAGGAAACACAGAAGUGCUUUCUUUCCCCACAGGACACUUGCGUUCUGUUUUGAAUUUUUCAUAUAUGUUGACUAUGUCUUGCUAAUAAUACUUAGAGAACACCUUCAUUUUUAAAUAGUUGUGUUUUAUUAUACUGUAUGGUUGGACUGAAUAGAAGCAAUCUCGUAAAGUUGGGCGUUUGGUUGUUUCCUGUUACAAACAAUGAUGAAGUUCUUAUGGUUCAAAUCAUUAUCAAAAGAUGCUGCAGACGUCCGAUUGUCCUCCAGAAAGACGAUACCAGUUUGUGGGGCCCUAGCAAUAAAGACAUCAGCCCCAGUGCCCUGCCAAGUGUAUUAUUAGGCUUUAGCCAGUCUGAUAGAUUAAAAAAUGACUUCAGCAUACUUUUUGUUGUUUUUAGAGUUUAUAAUAAUUUUUUGUGAAGUAAAAAAAAUUUAGUUGCUAAUAAACAGGUCAUGAAAUUUACCAACUUAAUACCAAUUUUAAAUGUACAGCUUAGAAAUAGUAUGUCCACAUUGUGGGACAGAUCUCUAGAACUUCCUUUUUUUUAAGAUUCACUAAUCAUUAAAAAGUAUGUGUGUGUGUGUGUCUGUGUGUGUCACACUCAUGAAUGUGCCAAGAUGCAUGUACAGAUUAGAGGACAGCUUACAGGAGUCAGUUCUUUCCUUCCACUCUGUGGGUCUGGAACUCAAACCUAGGUUGUCAGCUUGCUGAGAAGAGCACCGUCCUGCUCUGUGCAGAGCGAGAGGAAGAGGAGAGCAGAGAACUCACCCUCUUGCAUGCCAUACACUAAAAAGAUGCAGUUCAUAGAUAAACUGAGCCACGACGCUGUGGAAAGAGAGUGC
rnacentral:lncRNA from 1 species